rnacentral:rRNA from 1 species
GGAGCAAGAAAAUUAAUGGUCGGUUAGCCGGCUGACAUGGGAUGCUGUGCUUGGGCGCGGCGCACCAUGGCCCUGUCUUGAGAGCUUGCUCUUGGGCAGAGGUAGAGCGUACAGGUUGCGACCCGAAAGAUGGUGAACUAUGCUUGAGCAGGACGAAGCCAGAGGAAACUCUGGUGGAAGUCCGUAUCGGUUCUGACGUGCAAAUCGAUCGAUAGACUGGAGUAUA